rnacentral:rRNA from 1 species
UAAGAGAAUACUUCAGGAAUAAGUGACGGCUAAAUACGUGCCAGCAGCCGCGGUAAUACGUAUGUCUCAAGCGUACCCGGAAUCAUUGGGUGUAAAAGGGUUUGUAGGUGGAUAAUUAAGUCAGGUAUGAAAGACCGGAGCUCAACUCCGUGUUUGUAUUUGAAACUGGUUUGUCUAGAAUCAGGGAGAGGUAAGCGGAAUUCUAAGUGUAGGGGUGCAAUCCGUAGAUACUUAGAGGAACACCAAAAGCGAAGGCAGCUUACUGGAACUGUAUUGACACUGAUAAACGAAAGCGUGGGGAGCGAAAAGGAUUAGAUACCCUUGUAGUCCACGCCCUAAACGUUGAUAACUAAGUGUUGCGACUCGCUCGCAGUGCUGAAGCUAACGCGAUAAGUUAUCCACCUGAGGAGUACGGUCGCAAGAUUAAAACUCAAAGGAAUAGACGGGGACCCACACAAGCAGUGGAUCACGUGGUUUAAUUCGACAAUAAACGGGGAACCUUACCCAGACUUGACAUCUACCGAAUUUCCUAGAGAUAGGAGAGUGCCUUUAUUGGAGCGGUAAGACAGGUGCUGCAUGGUUGUCGUCAGCUCGUGCCUUGAGGUGUUCGGUUAAGUCCGUUAACGAGCGCAACCCAUGUCUUUAGUUAUUAUGUCUAAAGAGACUGCCUUGGUUAACAAGGAGGAAGGUGUGGAUGACGUCAAAUCAGCAUGGCUUUUACGUCUGGGGCUACACACAUGAUACAAUGGUAUGUACAAAGAGCAGCAAUACAGUAAUGUGGAGCCAAUCUUAAAAGCAUAUCUCAGUCCGGAUUGAGGGCUGCAACUCGCCCUCAUGAAGUUGGAAUUGCUAGUAAUCGUAAAUCAGACAUGUUACGGUGAAUAUGUUCCUGGGUCUUGUACUCACCGCCCGUCAUGGCAUGGGAGGCAGUAAUAUUGGAAGCCCCUCUAGUAAUAUGAGGGUCCAUAGUAGGACUGCUGACUGGGCUAAAGUCGUAACAAGGUAACC